AAUUUCAUAUUCAUUUGUUACUUUACUCUUUUCUCACUAUCGUCUUGCGCCUGCUUUAGCAUCUCUCACCUCCACCACUUACAAGUAGCCAUCGAGUGGCCCUUUCGCUCCUCCUCCCUCAGCUCGUCACAGAGCACAGUGGCAAUUAAGCAUCCGGUGGUCGCUUGAUGCUGGUCGUUCUUUGGACAGGACUGAUCUCAUUGGUACACUUGAAAUUGCUGGAGAAGUGAAAUAUUACCGACGUGAUUUGGAAGUAGAGCUUAAGCAGGGUUAUAAAGCGAUACCAACACUAAAUGAAAAAAAACAUACCAUAACUAUUAAGUAUGAAAAGAAAUAACCCAGCUCACAGUAUUUCAAUGGUCUUUGGCUUGUCUUUAAACAUAUUCACUCUAAAACUGCUGAAGAUGAAGAACAAAAUAUAUUACCUGCCUUGAAGGAUUUAGUUGAACAACUGAGCAUCAAUAUUAUUCUGAAAUCUCGUAAUUAUGCUUUUCGUAUCUUUCGUUGAACGACAAAGCUAUGGGGACAUAAAUAAAUGAAUGCCAGUUGUUGAGCAAUAUGGAGGCAUAUCAAGGAGACAAAGACACACGCAUGCAUACAUGGUCUCAGGCGGACCAGGGCUUUCUGAGUGGAUUUGGUAGAGGGAAACAAAGAAACUCGUAUAUCCACUCAGAACUAAACUAAUAGCUUAGGAGUGAAAUUUAGGAUUUCUUUGUUUUCUGUGAAUCGAUUUUGAUGAAACUUUUUCCCAGCUAGUCUGCACACUAUGGCAAAAUCAUUAUGUUUUCAUUAUUCUAUGUAACCUUCUUUUUUUAUUUCAGAUUCUUCAGUUUUGGGGUAAACCAUGCUAGUAGCUUUCGAAUGAAAAUAGCCCAUCUAGACUUUUUUUUUUUCCUUCAGAUAAUGAAGGGUAAUGGUACCAGUGGCAGCUCAUGUAUAGGCACUGCAGCACCCACUAAUUUCCACUCGAUAUUAUCGAUAACGUUCAAUAUAAUGAGUCUUUUUUUCUUGAAUUCUUUCUUUAUACUUGUACAU
rnacentral:lncRNA from 1 species